rnacentral:tRNA from 1 species
GUUCCUGUAGUUGAGUAACAACGUUGGUUUUUCGAAUCAAAGGUUCUGGUAGCAUAAAAUGUACCCAGAUAGGAAUG